CAGGGACGAGGUCAAAGUGUGUUCAGUUUCCAAGCUGUUGUAAAAGAACAAAGAAAAAAGAAGUUGAAAUUCAAUCAAAGAGGAAAAACAUUCAACCCUAUGAUUCGCACUCUUCUUUGUUGUGUGCUUUGGGAAGCAUGUUUUGAUCCGGGCACCAAGACCAUCCAUCAAUAGACUACUCAAGAACAAAAUAAAAAAAAUUUUGAAUUUAUUUGGAGUCUGAAAAUCUGAAUGUUAAUUCUAUUUAAGCUUUCAAUUUGAAUGCAUGUAAUAAGUAUUGAUUAAAUAAAGAGUUUUUUUUUUUU